UGGGUCGCUGCGCACAGUUGGCACUCACUGCGCGGGAUUCCCACGCAGCCGUCGACCGGCGUGAAGCGCAUGCGCGUCAUGUCCGGACUUGCGCAGCGGCUACCAUUCCCCUCACCCCCCAGCUUCUGCAGCUUGAUGGCCUGGGCCUAGGGGUCAGUGACGGCAUCCAAAGCUGGGCAGUGCUUUGUUCUUGUCCUUGCUUGCGGGUCGGCCAUCAUCUGGGCGGUCCCCCGAGGUAGUCUUGGACAUGACAGGGUUGAGGGGCCGGCUGACGGACGUCUCAGGAUGGCCAACUUCUCCUCCAGGAAGUCCUGCACCUGGUCCUGCACCGUGGCCGCUGCAGCUCUUGCUGCUCCUCACGCGGCGCACCCUGCUGCUUCUCGCAGGCCUUCAUCUGCCACGCCAUCUCCUUCUUCUGGUGCAGAAUGGACUCCAGGAUGGCCUCAUGCUCAUACAGGACUCAAAACACACCCUGUCAUCCUCUUCUCUUCAAGUAUCACCUGGCGGCCAAUCACCAGUAUAUUUGGGGCAUUUUCAAAUUGCCUCCACACUCCAGCCCUCAGUUUUAUCUCUGCAAGGAGCCAGGAGUCUUGGAGGGAGAAAAAAGCUAAGAAGUUGCAACAGUCACUGCAAACAGUCAGCUGGACGGUGGCAUCUGUGGCUGAUGUGGCUUUAAAUUCUUGGCUGGAUAAAUGUGUGACUGGGCAGUGCCACCACUGAGAUAUUGCUUCCAAGAUUGCUUACUUCAUUAUAAUUCACUUCUGUAAGGUUUUUUAAAUUGAGAUUUCCCUUAUAGAAAUCUCUUAUGUUUUACUGCUUCGAUGAUGAGCGGAGAUUAGCUUUGCAUUUGCAAAAUUAAAUUACUUUCCCAAAGUAUUUCUUAAUUUUCAUGCAGAUGCCACCGAAAAUUCCAAGAGAAUGAAAAGUUGUUAGCUGUACUUUAAAUACUAGAAAAUCUCUGUAUGGAAAGGAGAAAGGCAAGAGGGGGAAAUUACUUUUAUUUUAAAAUUGAACGUAGGGGUAUUCAUUCUGCCGAAUACACAUCUGGAGAAUCAGUACCUAAGGGGAAAACACUUUCAUAGUUCAAACUUUGAAUGUUUUUAGUGUCAAACUUUUGGAUUAAUAUCAUCUACGAAGGAAAAAUAAAAGGAAUUAAAAAUGAGUUGUGAACA
rnacentral:lncRNA from 1 species